GUCUCCAAACAAUGGCCCGCCAUGAGAUUUUAUCCGGCCUGCAGCAAGCUCUUAACAUGUUCCGUGUGGUGGGCUAUUUAGCGGGUUCUGUGGUAGCGCAGUUUUAGAGAUACAGAGUGGAUUAAGGCCCUUUGGCCCA